GGAUAAGAGGGAGCUGAGGCUGCCUUCCCAGGCACUGGUCAUGGGUAGGAGGCUGGGGUCCCAGCGUCUGGAAAUGCAUGCAGUCAUCGUAAAUGACCACCAGCACAGGCCACACACGCUGUAAACCAGGCACUGUCCUGGAUUUUCCAUGAAGGAGCUUUUUCCUUCCAUGCUCUACAGGUAACUGCCAUCAUCCCAUUUUGCAAAUGAAGGAAGUGAGGGUGGAGAAGGAACCUGUUUUGCCGAGGCUACCCUGGUUGCUGAGGCUACCCAGAUAAGGUGUCAAAUACAGUGCAUACAAGAAAAACGCCACUUCAGGUUGCCUGUCGGCACUUUCUGAGAAUGCAGAAAACUUAGGAUUUCUCACCAGAGAACCAAACCAAGAGGCAAGCAGACCUAUUCUCGGUUGUAUAACAUCGAAGUCUCCUCUCUCUGGACCUCCGU